AAGAGAACAAACAUAGACAGAGCUGAUCUUUGCAGCAUGAAGUUGUAAAAUGUGUCCUUAACAGAAUACAGGCCAGAGAAAGACUAGGGGCUUCUCAGGCUCAACACUGAGAUGCAGAUCAUGAUGUGACAGAAAUUCAGUGGCUUGCUUUCACACCUCUUCUGAAAACACUGGCCAUCUCCAGCAAAUUCCAUAUCUAAUUCAUUUCAUUCCAUUCUACUGAAUGGAAUAUGCAUUUCCCAAAAAGUGUUUGAUCCUGGAAUGACAUCCUUUGAGGAUAUGAUAACAUUACACAGGCUUGUACAGGAAUGUAGUAGUUGUUUUUAAUAUUUAACUUUCACAACUCAUUUUUCAUCUAGUUUCAGGAAGCUGUAUUAUUUGUUUCAGCUAAAUGGCGUGCUCCUGAGAGCCUCUGCUAACUACUGGAGUUGCCACGUGCCCACAGCUCUGUGCAGGGAUAUCACAAGCCAAACAGAAUGCAAUUCUGAAAUACAGUUGUCUUUAUAAAGACACACACACAUGAAAAAAUGCUGCUUCUAGCCACAGCAAUUCUUUAACAAUUCUAGACAGAAGUGAACAAGUAGAACUCCCAAAACCAAUCUCUUUGUCAAGAAAAUAGGAAUAAAAAGCACAUCAGUAAAAAGAAACAAAUAUUUGCAGUCAAUUUCUUGAAACUUGAAUGGCUUCCUGCCAUUGCAACACUGACUACAAUGGAAAGUUCAUAAUUUAAAUAAGGUAUUAUGUCUUGGGUGUACCAACUGGUGCUAAGUGAAAUAAGAGUAAAUUCUAGUCCUUGGAGUGUUAUUAGACUAUAGUCGCUGCCUCUCUCCAUGCACAGUCAAGAUCAGCAAGUUGCAGUAACUACUAAAAGUAGGAGGGCUUUGUGAAUAAAAACAACUUUUUAUGUGGCAAGAUCCCCUAAAAGAAAAGCAGAAGCAUAACAGGAAGAAAAAGUUAUCUCUUCAAGUUGCUUCGUUCAGCUCAUUUCUACAUCACUGUUCCUGUCUACGUCUCUUGCUUAAGUUUUCCUUUCAAACACUGAUGAUGUUGAAUACUCAUGCUUCAGGCACCCUUCUCCCUUUUUGACAAACUUUGUCCAUCUAAAGCCUCAGGGAAGAGGCAUACUGCAGUCCUGUGACUCAGGAACUAAUUUCCAGAGACACAUAUGAAUCACGGGUAGCAAUGAGCUAUAGGUAUAGGUGAUGUAGGUGAUACAUACCAAUGAUAUAGGUGUCACUCCACAAGUAAUGCCUCCUAUUUACUUCCAUCGAAACUACAACAGCUACGUAGAGCUCAAUAGCACUGUUUGAUAGAGCAAAUUCUCAGCUAUGAAAUGCUAUUUUUCAGCAUAGUCACCAGCAUUGUCUCUGCAUUUUUGCCAGCAAUGAACAAGAGCCUGAAUGCAACACAUAAAAAUCUGCACCAGAGGAGGGGACCCACAGUUUCACAGCUGCUGUGAUAGCGUGAUGGUGUUAUUGCUGAGAAAAUGUUGCCCACACAGUUCAUCCUUCAUCAGAUUGAAUAGAUGAAAGUCAGAAGGCACCAAAUCUGGACAACUUGGUGUGUAGUAGGACAGCCAAGAUCACAAGGCCAAUGUGCUCCACGGUCUUCAAACUGGUAUGGGGCCUGGUGUUAUUGUAUUGCAAGAGAAAGGUUGUCUUCAUCUGUGGCUUGACUCUAGAAGAUCAAGCCUUCAUCCUAGUCAGAAUUGUGAUGUUGUAGUCAGAGUUGAUGGUUUGUCCGGGUUCCAGGAAAUCCAGAAGGAUCACUCCUUCCCUAUCCCAAAAAACGAUGCACCUCAUUUUACCUGCUGAGGGCUGUGUUUUGAACAUUUUCUUUUAUAAGGGAAUUCACACAUCACCACUCUAUGGACUGCCAUUGUGACUCUGGUUCGUAGUGGUGACAUCAUGUACAUCUCAUCACUGGUAAAUGAUACAAUCCAGAAAACUGUCACCUUCAGCAUCUUACUGUUUCAAUAGGUUCUGGCAAACUUGCAUACAGUAUACUUUCUGUUCCUUUCUGAGCAUUCAUGAGAUUCAUUUGGCACAAACUGUGAUAUUUCAGUGUUGCCACCAUCAUUUCCAAUGAAUUGAAGCUAAUAUUCAGCUCCACACAUAUUUCCCUGAUUGUAAUCCACCAAUUUGCUUAAUGCGCAUUCCCAUAUCAGUCACCAUUUUGCCAGACUGUCCCUCUGCUGUCGUCUGUCACACAGCAACAAAGUUUAAUAGAAUAUUUAUGGGAAGGUUCAACCUCUCCUGCCAUACCACCAACACCUGCCACUUAUGUCACGGUCUGUUAUAAAAUAGCUGGUAUUAGUUUCAGAUCAGCCCUUGUAUACAUAUUAUAUUGGGAGAAGGUUAUUUCUUCUUUUGGAAGACUGUGGAGAUACCAAAUGUAGUAGUACAGUGCUGUAGUGGAAAUGCCAAGUCAGGAUCUGAAGCAGUGAUUGAGCACCUGGUGGGAAGGCAGGGCCCAGGUGCAUGCAAUGCAAUGCACCUGAGUGACCGGAAGGGGUGGAGUCAGGAUCCACCCCUUUCCAGACCUCAUUUAAGGGUUGGCAGUGGAGGUAAGAGUAUUUUGCUAGAGCUUCCUGCUUUUUUGAGGCCUUCUAAGGGACUUCGUACUGCCAACCAUGUGUUUUUCUCUGAAGUGCAAAAAAUGAGUUUUGCACUCUCCAGCUCUUCAAGAUUGCAAGGAAACCUCCAGCAAGGACAGAUAUUCUGACUGAUCUGUUCCACCUCAGUCAUCACCUGACCCUGCAGGAAAGAGUCCGCCAAGGCUGUUAGAUGAACAAUCAGUGACUAGAAAAACUUAUGGAUAAUAUCACUAAGGCAAAAGAUUUCAUUCGUUGAAUGCCAGAAGUCUAGAUUAUCUGCCUUAACACUUGUGUAGCAUGGACUGAGUACCAGCCUCCUUCUAGUGUCAUGAACUACCAGAAAGAUCCCCAAGUACCGACUGCAUCUGCAUGCGAUGACCACUCUACAAAGUGGAGCAAAUGAGGGAAGGCUUCAUGCUCUUUUUGAGAAGUUAAAGCCAAGGAAUAAAAACUGCCCACACCACUAACCAUCUAAGCAAUGGAUGUCCUUAAGUGAGUUUGAAAAGGACCGAUAAGACCGUGUGAAGCAUUAAAGCCCUCGGUGUAAUGCCCAGCCUGUUCCUGGACCAGUGUCAGCGUGAAUGCACAAAAUUUGAGGCUCACCAACAGUACACGUCACACCCAAACACCAUUUUCUGCCCUCUUAAUCUAACCAUAGUGAUCUCCUGGGACACGGCUAUGUGUUAACUCAGCAGCUCUUACACAAGUCCCUACAGUGAAGCAUAUGUUUAUGUGGGCUAUUGAACUGAGUGCUAACCAACAAACCACGGAAAAAUAUGACCCUACAAUUUACUAGGCUAUUUCUUCUAACAAAAGGCUUACAACAGAAUUGCAAGCUAAAAGCAACCACUGUCUAAGUAACAACCAUGAGAAACACACAUUUUUGACUGUACACAUUUCAUUUUAUUUUAAAUGACUAAAUAUUAGACUUCCAUAUACUCAGAGACUUUGAAACCAGUGCUACUUUAAAUGAUCCCAACAUUUUUUUCAUUAUAUGCAAACCACCUAGGCAGUUCUGACUUUUAGGACUAUGGAGGCUUUUAUUUAUACAUUGCUUUUAUUUAUAGCAUUUCUACACUGUUGCUUUAGAAAUGUAGUUGUGGAGGGACCUUCCACUAAUAGCUCACUGCUGCAGCAGUGCUGUUAGUGGAGCUCCAGCUUGGCAUGCAGCUUUUGAGCUUGGACACCCAAACCUAAGCUCAGGCUGCUAGGACCUCAUGCAAUGGUGUCCUGAGAGUGAGAGCCAGCAGCACUUUCUUCAUUUGCAUUUACAGCUUACUGCUCAUCAACAAAGACUGUAUUGUUAAAAGCUGUGAAGUGGGGAAACAGGCAUGGUGGACACACUGAAAAUACAAUGGAUUAGGAAAUGUUGUGGCUGUGCCCAGAUUGUAGGGCAAGAUAACGCUCAGGGGAGGCAAAUUUGCAAAUAGAUUCAGAUCAACUUCAUGUGCUGCAGCUCCGAUGCUGAGUUCUGUAGUACUUUACAGCAUGUGUGCUUUGCUUUCAAAGAAAUGAAGAAAUCCACAUUAAAUGUCCACACGGGACUUGAUUGAGCUCUGUGUCACCACAAACAACACAGCACAGGUGAGUUUAACUGCUUAUCAUCAGCUAAAUACAAACUUAAACAAGGAAAUCUGACAUUUCUGCUUAGCAAAACUAACUGAGGAAGCAUUCUGUUCAAAUGCACUUUACAAUUCUCCUGCCCUUUCCACGUAUCACAGAAUCACAGAAUGGCCAGGGUUGGAAAAAACCUCAAGGAUCAUGAAUCUCCAACCUCCCUGCCACAUGCAGGGCCACCAACCUCGCCAGUUAAUACUGGGCUAGGCUGCCCAGGGCCCCAUCCAACCUGGCCUUGAACACCUCCAGGGACAGGGCAUCCACAACCUCUCUGGGCAGCCUGUU